rnacentral:rRNA from 1 species
UACGUAGGUCCCGAGCGUUGUCCGGAUUUAUUGGGCGUAAAGCGAGCGCAGGUGGUUUAAUAAGUCUGAUGUAAAAGGCAGUGGCUCAACCAUUGUGUGCAUUGGAAACUGUUAGACUUGAGUGCAGAAGAGGAGAGUGGAAUUCCAUGUGUAGCGGUGAAAUGCGUAGAUAUCGGGAGGAACACCAGUGGCGAAGGCGGCUUCCUGGCCUGUUACUGACGCUGAGAUGCGAAAGCGUGGGGAGCGAACGGG